UACGUAGGGUGCGAGCGUUAAUCGGAAUUACUGGGCGUAAAGCGUGCGCAGGCGGUUUUGUAAGCCAGAUGUGAAAGCCCGGGGCUUAACCCCGGGUCUGCAUUCGAUACGGGCUAGCUAGAGUGUGGUAGGGGAGAUCGGAAUUCCAGGUGUAGCGGUGAAAUGCGUAGAUAUCUGGAGGAACAUCAGUGGCGAAGGCGACACCCUGGACUCAUACUGACACUGAGGUGCGAAAGCGUGGGGAGCAAACAGG
rnacentral:rRNA from 1 species